rnacentral:rRNA from 1 species
AAUGAACGCUGGCGGCGCGCCUAAUACAUGCAAGUCGAGCGAGAAGACGUAGCAAUACGUUUGUAAAGCGGCGAACGGGUGAGGAAUACAUGGGUAACCUACCCUCGAGUGGGGAAUAACUAGCCGAAAGGUUAGCUAAUACCGCGUACGCUUCUUGGACUUCGGUUCAGGGAGGAAAGCGAUGCCGAGGGUAUCGCGCUCUUGGAUGGGCUCAUGUCCUAUCAGCUUGUGGUGAGGUAACGGCUCACCAAGGCUUCGACGGGUAGCUGGUCUGAGAGGACGAUCAGCCACACUGGGACUGAGACACGGCCCAGACUCCUACGGGAGGCAGCAGUGGGGAAUUUUUGUCAAUGGGGGAAACCCUGAACAAGCAACGCCGCGUGGAGGACGAAGACC